UACAGAGGGUGCAAGCGUUGUUCGGAAUUAUUGGGCGUAAAGCGCACGUAGGCGGAUAUUUAAGUCAGGGGUGAAAUCCCAGAGCUCAACUCUGGAACUGCCUUUGAUACUGGGUAUCUUGAGUAUGGAAGAGGUAAGUGGAAUUGCGAGUGUAGAGGUGAAAUUCGUAGAUAUUCGCAGGAACACCAGUGGCGAAGGCGGCUUACUGGUCCAUUACUGACGCUGAGGUGCGAAAGCGUGGGGAGCAAACAGG
rnacentral:rRNA from 1 species